UCCGGUGGCAAUAGCGGAGAGGCCCCACCCGUUCCCAUUCCGAACACGGCCGUUAAGCUCUCCAGCGCCAAUGGUACUGCAAGGGAAUCUUUGUGGGAGAGUAGGACGCUGCCGGAU
rnacentral:rRNA from 1 species